GGAGUUAGCCGGUGCUUCUUCUGUGAGUGAUGUCCUUCCUGCCGGCUAUUAACCCGCAGGCCUUCUUCCUCACUGAAAGUGCUUUACAACCCGAAGGCCUUCUUCACACACGCGGCAUGGCUGGAUCAGGGUUGCCCCCAUUGUCCAAUAUUCCCCACUGCUGCCUCCCGUAGGAGUCUGGGCCGUGUCUCAGUCCCAGUGUGGCUGAUCAUCCUCUCAGACCAGCUACGGAUCGUCGCCUUGGUGAGCCGUUACCUCACCAACCAGCUAAUCCGACAUAGGCUCAUCCGAUAGCGCGAGGCCCGAAGGUCCCCCGCUUUCCCCCGUAGGGCGUAUGCGGUAUUAGCCUGGGUUUCCCCAGGUUAUCCCCCACUACCGGGCAGAUUCCUAUGCAUUACUCACCCGUCCGCCGCUCGCCACCAGGGAGCAAGCUCCCCGUGCUGCCGCUCGACUUGCAUGUGUUAGGCCUGCCGCCAGCGUUCAUCUGAGCCAGGAUCAACUCUGA
rnacentral:rRNA from 1 species